rnacentral:lncRNA from 12 species
CCCCCCCCCCCCCCCCCCCCCCCCCCCCCCCCCCCCCCCCCCCCCCCCCCCCCCCCAAGCCAGCUCUGUGUUUUGGGGUGACACGGGGGCUGGCUCUGUGUUUUGGGGUGACUCAAAGGGACAGCUCUGUGUUUUGGGGCUGGCUUUGCCCUUCAAGGGGACACGAGGCGCUGUCCCCGUCCUUUGGGGACACAGCCGGGCUGUCGCCGCCCUUGGGGUGACUCUGCCUUUGGGGACACAGGGAUGGCGCUGGGGUGGCUUUGGGGACACCAGCACGGCGGGUGGCUUUGAUCCGGGGGGUGGCACCAGAGCUGGCAGCGCCGUUUGGGGACACGGGGGGUGGCAGUGGCAGGGGACGCUCAGUGCGGCUCAGCCGGGCUGGUGUUGUCACUUGUCACCGCGUCCAGCUGCGCUGUGACAUCCAGCUGUGCCUGUCACCCUCACCCGGCUGUGCAGAUGUGCGGCGCCACGCGGAUGUGCGGUGUCACCGCGACUCGUCCUGCUGGGACACCGUGGGGACAUUGCCGUGUCACCGCGUCCAGCGGGGGCUCCGUGUCACCCCUGUGCCGUGUCACCGUGUCCAGCGGGUGUUCCCUGUCACCGUGCCAUGGGUUGGUGUGUCACCCCUGUGCCGUGUCACCGUGUCCAGCGGGUGUUCCCUGUCACCGUGCCAUGGGUUGGUGUGUCACCCCUGUGCCGUGUCACCGUGUCCAGCGGGUGUUCCCUGUCACCGCAUCUAGCGGGUGUUCCCUGUCACCGUGCCAUGGAUUGGUGUGUCACCCCUGUGUCAUGUCACCGCAUCCAGCGGGUGUUCCCUGUCACCGUGCCAUGCAUUGGUGUGUCACCAUGCCAUGUCACUGUGCCAUGUCACCAUCCCAUGUCCGCGAGCCAUGCCAUGUCACCGUGCCAUGGGUUGGUGUGUCACCCCUGUGCCGUGUCACCGUGUCCAGCGGGUGUUCCCUGUCACCGUGCCAUGGGUUGGUGUGUCACCCCUGUGCCGUGUCACCGUGUCCAGCGGGUGUUCCCUGUCACCGUGCCAUGGGUUGGUGUGUCACCCCUGUGCCGUGUCACCGUGUCCAGCGGGUGUUCCCUGUCACCGUGCCAUGGGUUGGUGUGUCACCCCUGUGCCGUGUCACCGUGUCCAGCGGGUGUUCCCUGUCACCGUGCCAUGGGUUGGUGUGUCACCCCUGUGCCGUGUCACCGUGUCCAGCGGGUGUUCCCUGUCACCGUGCCAUGGGUUGGUGUGUCACCCCUGUGCCGUGUCACCGUGUCCAGCGGGUGUUCCCUGUCACCGUGCCAUGGGUUGGUGUGUCACCCCUGUGCCGUGUCACCGUGUCCAGCGGGUGUUCCCUGUCACCGUGCCAUGGGUUGGUGUGUCACCCCUGUGCCGUGUCACCGUGUCCAGCGGGUGUUCCGUGUCACCGUGCCAUGGGUUGGUGUGUCACCCCUGUGCCGUGUCACCGCGUCCAGCGGGUGUUCCGUGUCACCGUGCCAUGGGUUGGUGUGUCACCCCUGCGCCGUGUCACCAUACAAUGUCACCGUGCCGUGUCCAGGAGCCAUUCUAUGUCACUGUGCCAUGCCUUGGUGUGUCACCACUCCAUGUCACCGUGUCCAGUGGGUGGGUGUGCCACCACUGAACUGGUGUGUCACCACUGUGCCAUGUCACCGUGCCAUGCAUUGGUGUGUCACCAUGCCAUGUCACUGUGCCAUGUCACCAUCCCAUGUCCGCGAGCCAUGCCAUGUCACCGUGCCGUGGGUUGGUGUGUCACACUCCAUGUCACCGUGCCCUGCACUGCAGUGCCACCGCUCCGUGUCACAGGCCUGUGCAGGGGGGCUGGGACGUGUCCCACACGCCCCGUGGUGGCUCCUGCGGUCCC